AGCAGCCGCGGUAAUUCCAGCUCCAAUAGCGUAUAUUAAAGUUGUUGCAGUUAAAAAGCUCGUAGUUGAAUUUCGGGAUCAAUAUUUCGGUCAUGCCGUUGGUAUGCACUGUUAUCAUUGAUUUCUCACCUUCUAAAGAACCGUAAUGCCAUUAAUUUGGUGUUACGGGGAAUUAGGACUGUUACCUUGAAAAAAUUAGAGUGUUUAAAGCAGGCUCACGCUUGAAUACAUUAGCAUGGAAUAAUGAAAUAGGACAUCCGAUUCUAUUUUGUUGGUUUCUAGGAUCGAUGUAAUGAUUAAUAGGGAUAGUUGGGGGCAUUAGUAUUCAAUUGUCAGAGGUGAAAUUCUUGGAUUUAUUGAAGACUAACUACUGCGAAAGCAUUUGCCAAGGAUGUUUUCAUUAAUCAAGAACGAAAGUUAGGGGAUCGAAGACGAUCAGAUACCGUCGUAGUCUUAACCAUAAACUAUGCCGACUAGGAAUCAGACGAUGUUAAUUUUUAAUGAC
rnacentral:rRNA from 1 species